GACCCGAAAGAUGGUGAACUAUGCCUGAAUAGGGCGAAGCCAGAGGAAACUCUGGUGGAAGCUCGUAGCGAUUCUGACGUGCAAAUCGAUCGUCAAAUUUGGGUAUAGGGGCGAAAGACUAAUCGAACCAUCUAGUAGCUGGUUCCCUCCGAAGUUUCCCUCAGGAUAGCUGGAGCCCGGUGCAGUUUUAUCAGGUAAAGCGAAUGAUUAGAGGUCUUGGGGUUGAAACAACCUCAACCUAUUCUCAAACUUUAAAUGGGUAAGAAGCUCGGCUUGCUUAACUGAAGUCGGGCACUGAAUGCCGGGGCUCCUAGUGGGCCAUUUUUGGUAAGCAGAACUGGCGAUGCGGGAUGCACCGAACGCUGGGUUAAGGUGCCCGAGUCGACGCUCAUCAGAUACCAUGAAAGGUGUUGGUUGAUCUAGACAGCAGGACGGUGGCCAAGGAAGUCGGAAUCCGCUAAGGAGUGUGUAACAACUCACCUGCCGAAUCAACUAGCCCUGAAAAUGGAUGGCGCUGAAGCGUCGCACCCAUACCCAGCCGUUGGGCCGAGGGGCAUGGCCCAACGAGUAGGAGGGCGCAGUGGUGGCUGUGCAGCCUCGGGCGUGAGCCUGGGUGAAGCUGCCACUGGUGCAGAUCUUGGUGGUAGUAGCAAAUAUUCAAACGAGAGCUUUGAAGACUGAAGUGGGGAAGGGUUCCAUGUGAACAGCAGUUGGACAUGGGUUAGUCGAUCCUAAGAGAAGGGAGAGGUCCUUGUGGAGGGCGCAAUCGCUUCGGCGACCGCGCCGUCCCUCGAAAGGGAAUCGGGUUAACAUUCCCGAACCGGGAUGUGGAUAGGCCCCAGGCCAUUAGCGGCAACGCAAGCGAACUCGGAGACGUCGGCGAGAGCCCCGGGAAGAGUUCUCUUUUCUUCUUAACGGACUGGCACCCUGGAAUCAGAUUGGCUGGAGAUAGGGUUUAAUGUCCGGUAAAGCGCCACACUUGUGGUGGCGUCCGGUGCGCUCUCGACGGCCCUUGAAAAUCCGAGGGAGUGUUUGAUUCUCACGCCCGGUCGUACCGAUAACCGCAUCAGGUCUCCAAGGU
rnacentral:rRNA from 1 species